rnacentral:rRNA from 1 species
GACGAACGCUGGCGGCGUGCUUAACACAUGCAAGUCGAACGAUGAAGCCGGAGCUUGCUCUGGUGAAUUAGUGGCGAACGGGUGAGUAACACGUGAGUAACCUGCCCUUGACUCUGGGAUAACUGCGGGAAACUGUAGCUAAUACCGGAUACGACCCUCGGAGGCAUCUCCUGGGGGUGGAAAGAAUUUCGUCAAGGAUGGACUCGCGGCCUAUCAGCUAGUUGGUGAGGUAAAGGCUCACCAAGGCGACGACGGGUAGCCUGCCUGAGAGGGUGACCGGCCACACUGGGACUGAGACGCGGCCCAGACUCCUACGGGAGGCAGCAGUGGGGAACAUUGCACAAUGGGCGCAAGCCUGAUGCAGCAACGCCGCGUGAGGGAUGACGGCCUUCGGGUUGUAAACCUCUUUUAGCAGGGAAGAAGCGAAAGUGACGGUACCUGCAGAAAAAGCACCGGCUAACUACGUGCCAGCCGCCGCAGUAA